ensembl:lncRNA
GGAAAGCAGGCCCAAUAGCAGAGGAAAAGGCUUAUAUUCAAAGUUUCCUUGUUUUGCCUUAAGAUGUGAGUUUUUACUUCAUCCCCGGUCUUUCAAGGUGGGCAGAGCCAGUGCCUUCAUAGCAGGGGACUUAGAGGCGCCGCCUGGGCGGCUGUGGGGCUGGCUCUGCGUGGACUCUGCCUUCCUGCCUGGACUUCCCGAGGGAGGGGCUCCUUCCUUCUCACCCCUCUUUGUUUCUGGGAGGAAAAGGGCAGCCACGGCAGGAAACGGUGUCUCUGUGCAGUAAAACAUGAGGUAAACUUCCCUGGACCGGCACUGGUGUGUCGGAGCCACAGCGGGACUGCCAGCAGCGGAAGCUGGCAUGGGGAGGCGAGCCCUAGAACCGGGCAGGCGCGGGCUAAGCGUCCCCAGCCUCACGUGGGCGCGGGCCCCUGGGGCGCAUCUUGAAUACUCUCUGCGGUUGUCCUGAGUCUUGGACACGUCUCUUCCCAGGGACACAGAAUGAAGGUCAGGGUGGCAGCGUGGCCAGGCCUGGGAUGGAGACCCAGUCCACCACCCGCUCAAGCGGCUGAGGGGUCCCGUCUGUGUCCAGGGUCCCCGGUAACCCAGUCACCACGGGGAGCCCUGGAGGAGGAGAGCAGCUCAGGGAGGGAUUGGCUGUGGAGGCUGGGCUGAGCAUGAAUGGGCCACCUCAGUGCUCGCGUUGUCCAGGAGGUCGCGUCACCGUGGAGCCCGGAGAGGCCUCCAUCCCUGCUGUGGCCCUGCACUCAGGAGACACUUCCACCCCUGGACCGGGCUUCACACUCCUUCGGGGAGGGGGCUGGCUGGCCCAGCCUCAGGAGCGCGGCCUUCCUGGGAGCUGGUCGAUUUCUGUCCCGAGGACCGGCCUCUCUCACGUUUAGUUCCCCCUUUCGCCGAGAUGGAACCGCAGCCAUCGUUUGCCUGGUGUCCCCACCCCAGCACCCCACAUGUCACCCCAAUCCAAUUUCUAACCUGAGCCGCCCUCUCCAGAGGCCUGGUCCCCAUAACAGAGGUCCGGCUCACCAGACGUCCCGUCUAUUUCCCAGCUGCUGCUGCUGCUAAGUCACUUGAGUCAUGUCCGACUCUGUGCGACCCCAUAGACGGCAGCCCAUCAGGCUCCCCCAUCCCUGGGAUUCUCCAGGCAAGAACACUGGAGUGGGUUGCCAUUUCCUUCUCCAGUGCAUGCAAGUGAAAAGUGAAAGUGAAGUCGCUCAGCUGUGUCCGACUCUUAGCGACCCCAUUGACUGCAGCCCACCAGGCUCCUCUGUCCAUGAGAUUUUCCAGGUCUGGCCAUGUACUGCCUUAGGGGUGGACAGACGGGACCCCGCCUGCCCCAGGAGCCCCUGGACACCUCGGUCAUGGACAGAAGUGCUACCACUAAGCUGAUCCUGGAGCCCUGCCCGGAGCAGUGGAUGGGGACUCCGCGUGGGCAGCCCAGUGCCCAGGUGGCCUGCUUUUCAGAUCAGCGAAGAUCCGUCACCCGCUUCCCAUCCACACCCAGAAGGAGGCAGGUGCUGGGUGGGCAACUGCCCCCACGCCUGCUGGGUCGCCUCUACCGGGCCCCUCCCUUACCUGCGGGCCUGCAGCCAGGCCCACUCCUGUGGCUGGGGAGGGAUGGGACGCAGCACAGGAUCCAGGAUGCUGCCCUGGCUUGUUCGUCACUGGAGGCUUCCCGCCUCUAGUCCUCGGGACGUCUGGGUACCACUCCUGCCAGCUGCUGACCAAGUUCUGGGGCUCUGAUGCCCCGGGAGGCUGCUAGGUGCAGAAAACACCUUCAUGGCGACUGAAAAUUUAAUAUGUCAUUUCUGAGGUUGAUUUUUAAAAGACAAUUCAUUUUCUUUAAUUAAAUUCAACUUGUGAAUCUUCUAAAUUUAUUUUGCAUGCAUCUGGGGACUUCUACCAGUCACUUUGAAGGGGACCUUGGAGUCUGAUGAAAAGUGACAGGAACUGUCAUGACCAAUCCUGUUAACUAAAUUCCCUUGAGCAUUUAAAACUGUAUUUACAAAUUUGAUUUCUUUGAUUUUCCUUCUAAGGAGCUUCUGCUGUAUGACCCAUGGUUUUGCCAUACAUCGACAUGAAUCCACCCUGGGUGUACUUGUGUUUCCCAUCCUGAACCCCCUUCUGGAGCAGGGCAUUUUAAACUAGACUCAGC